UGAACUGGAACAUUAAAGCCUUAAGAAGGCAGCAAUGCGACAUAUUCCCGUAGUACCUGCAAGAAGAUGAUAGAAUGAUAAAUAUCAGUAGCGACGCACGGACGUUUAGGCGGAACUAAAGUUUGUGCUGCAGUUUCUUUCAGGGUCUAAUAAUUGUCACGGACUCCCGGAAAUGGUUGCAAAUUUAAACCGCCAUCACAGACACAUUAAAGGCUUAACGUUAAUACUUUCAAAUAACACGCUGCUCCGACAAUUGGCAAUUUAUGAAAAUUAAGCUGAGCUCUAACAGAUAAUUAAUUUAAGAGUGAGUCCUCCCACCUCAGCUCUGAAGCACCUGUUGCCGUAGUGAUUUUCUUAAGCUGAUGUGAAAACCCCAACUGAAGUAAUCCAAACUGA
ensembl:lncRNA